GAUGAAGAACGCAGCGAAAUGCGAUAAGUAGUGUGAAUUGCAGAAUUCAGAGAAUCAUCGAAUCUUUGAACGCACAUUGCGCCCCUUGGUAUUCCAUGGGGCAUGCCUGUUCGAGCGUCAUUUGUACCUUCAAGCUUUGCUUGGUGUUGGGUGUUUGUCUCGCCUUUGCGUGUAGACUCGCCUUAAAAUAAUUGGCAGCCGGCGUAUUGAUUUCGGAGCGCAGUACAUCUCGCGCUUUGCACUCAUAACGACAGCGUCCAAAAGUACAUUUUACACUCUUGACCUCGGAUCAGGUAGGGAUACCCGCUGAACUUAAGCAUAUCAAUAAGCGGAGGA
rnacentral:misc_RNA from 1 species